rnacentral:snoRNA from 1 species
CCGAGAAGCUUCAAAUGAUGAGACCUUAUCAAUGAACCGAAUUUUUAGGAAGAGCCGGAAGAGGUAUGGCAAAUAGGGCCCAAAGAGGAUUCCGUUUGUCGUCGAUGCUUAUAAUGGUUCUGCUGAAGGAGUCUUUUGA